rnacentral:hammerhead_ribozyme from 1 species
AUCCGGCUGACGAAUCCCAAAUAAGACGAAACGAGCGCCCUGGAU